CAGAGGCCCAUUUAAUUCUAUUGAUUAGUGACGUCCGAGUUCAAAAACAAUAAGUAAAAACUUUCAACAACGGAUCUCUUGGUUCCAGCAUCGAUGAAGAACGCAGCGAAAUGCGAUAAGUAAUGUGAAUUGCAGAAUUCAGUGAAUCAUCGAAUCUUUGAACGCACAUUGCGCCCCUCGGCAUUCCGGGGGGCAUGCCUGUUCGAGCGUCAUUGCACCCCUCAAGCGUAGCUUGGUAUUGGGCUCUCGCCCCUGCGGCGUGCCCGAAAAUCAGUGGCGGUCCGGCGUGACUUUGAGCGUAGUAAUAUCCUCCCGCUCUAAAGCUUUCGUCGUGGCCGGCCAGAGAACCCCACACACUUCAAUAAUUGACCUCGGAUCAGGCAGGGAUACCCGCUGAACUUAA
rnacentral:rRNA from 1 species